rnacentral:rRNA from 1 species
UACGUAGGGUGCAAGCGUUAAUCGGAAUUACUGGGCGUAAAGCGUGCGCAGGCGGCUUUGCAAGACAGAUGUGAAAUCCCCGGGCUUAACCUGGGAACUGCAUUUGUGACUGCACAGCUGGAGUGCGGCAGAGGGGAUGGAAUUCCGGCGUGUAGCAGUGAAAUGCGUAGAUAUGCGGAGGAACACCGAUGGCGAAGGCAAUCCCCUGGGCCUGCACUGACGCUCAUGCACGAAAGCGUGGGGAGCAAACAGG